rnacentral:tRNA from 1 species
AUUUAUAUAGUUUAAGAAAACGUUACUUUUUCAUAGUAAAAUUAGAAUAAUUUCUUGUAAAUA